UGGUUCUGGCAUCGAUGAAGAACGCAGCGAAAUGCGAUAAGUAAUGUGAAUUGCAGAAUUCAGCGAAUCAUCGAAUCUUUGAACGCACAUUGCGCCCGCUAGUAUUCUGGCGGGCAUGCCUGUUCGAGCGUCAUUUCAACCCUCAGGCCCUGCCUGGUGAUGGGGCUCUCCCGCGGUCUCGGCCGUGGGGCCCUGAAAGUCAGCGGCGGGCCCUGCUGAACCCCGAGCGCAGUAACUCUUCUCGCUCAGGGGGCUGGCAGGCGCCUUGCCUCCUAAACCUAAAUCUCAAGGUUGACCUCGGAUCAGGUAGGAACACCCGCUGA
rnacentral:misc_RNA from 1 species